rnacentral:rRNA from 1 species
AGAGUUUGAUCCUGGCUCAGGACGAACGCUGGCGGCGUGCUUAAUACAUGCAAGUCGAACGAGGUCCAUCCGAUCUUCGGAUUGGUGAAGACCUAGUGGCGAACGGGUGCGUAACACGUGAGAAACCUGCCCCGGUCUCUGGAAUAACAGUUGGAAACGACUGCUAAUACCGGAUGCCGUCGGACCAUCGCAUGGUGGACCGACGAAAGGGUUACCGGACCGGGAGGGUCUCGCGGCCUAUCAGCUUGUUGGUGAGGUAACGGCUCACCAAGGCAUCGACGGGUAGCUGGUCUGAGAGGAUGAUCAGCCACACUGGGACUGAGACACGGCCCAGACUCCUACGGGAGGCAGCAGUAGGGAAUAUUGCACAAUGGGCGAAAGCCUGAUGCAGCAACGCCGCGUGCGGGAAGAAGGCCCUAGGGUUGUAAACCGCUUUCAGCAGGGAAGAAAAUGACGGUACCUGCAGAAGAAGGUGCGGCCAACUACGUGCCAGCAGCCGCGGUGACACGUAGGCACCAAGCGUUGUCCGGAUUUAUUGGGCGUAAAGAGCUCGUAGGCGGUUCAGUAAGUCGGGUGUGAAAACUCUGGGCUCAACCCAGAGACGCCACUCGAUACUGCUGUGACUAGAGUGCGGUAGGGGAGCGGGGAAUUCCUAGUGUAGCGGUGAAAUGCGCAGAUAUUAGGAGGAACACCAGUGGCGAAGGCGCCGCUCUGGGCCGUAACUGACGCUGAGGAGCGAAAGCGUGGGUAGCAAACAGGAUUAGAUACCCUGGUAGUCCACGCCGUAAACGUUGGGCACUAGGUGUGGGUCUCAACCAACGAGAUCCGCGCCGUCGCUAACGCAUUAAGUGCCCCGCCUGGGGAGUACGGCCGCAAGGCUAAAACUCAAAGGAAUUGACGG